rnacentral:misc_RNA from 1 species
UCCGAGUUGACCCCGGCAGUCUCCUGCGAGUCCCCGCCAUUACGCGCUGGCAACACAGGACAAGGGUUGCGCUCGUUGCGGGACUUAACCCAACAUCUCACGACACGAGCUGACGACAGCCAUGCAGCACCUCGACUAGACCCCCUUGCGGAGUAACCGUGUUUCCACGAUCGUUGACUAGCCGUUCGAGCCCAGGUAAGGUUCUUCGCGUUGCGUCGAAUUGAACCACAUGCUCCACCGCUUGUGCGGGCCCCCGUCAAUUCCUUUGAGUUUCAGCCUUGCGACUGUACUCCCCAGGCGGCAUAUUUAACGCGUUAGCUCCGGCACAGACAGAAUGAACUGCCUACACCAAAUAUGCAUCGUUUAGGGCGUGGACUAC